UACGUAGGGUGCGAGCGUUAAUCGGAAUUACUGGGCGUAAAGCGUGCGCAGGCGGUUCUCCAAGUCCGUUGUGAAAGCCCCGGGCUCAACCUGGGAAUGGCAGUGGAAACUGGCAGGCUUGAAUCCGGGAGAGGGAUGUGGAAUUCCAGGUGUAGCGGUGAAAUGCGUAGAUAUCUGGAGGAACACCGGUGGCGGAAGGCGGCGAUCCUGGACCGGUAUUGACGCUGAGGCGCGAAA
rnacentral:rRNA from 1 species